GAUGAACGCUAGCUACAGGCUUAACACAUGCAAGUCGAGGGGAAACGACAUCGAAAGCUUGCUUUUGAUGGGCGUCGACCGGCGCACGGGUGAGUAACGCGUAUCCAACCUGCCCAUCACUUGGGAAUAACCUUGCGAAAGUAAGACUAAUACCCAAUGACAUCCCACGAAGACAUCUGAAUGGGAUUAAAGAUUUAUCGGUGAUGGAUGGGGAUGCGUCUGAUUAGCUUGUUGGCGGGGUAACGGCCCACCAAGGCAACGAUCAGUAGGGGUUCUGAGAGGAAGGUCCCCCACAUUGGAACUGAGACACGGUCCAAACUCCUACGGGAGGCAGCAGUGAGGAAUAUUGAUCAAUGGGCGAGGGCCUGAACCAGCCAAGUAGCGUGCAGGAUGACGGCCCUAUGGGUUGUAAACUGCUUUUAUAAGGGAAUAAAGUGGGUCUCGUGAGACUUUUUGCAUGUACCUUAUGAAUAAGGACCGGCUAAUUCCGUG
rnacentral:rRNA from 1 species